rnacentral:rRNA from 1 species
UCAGACGAUGCGUUCAUGCAUAUCAAUAAGCGGAGGAAAAGAAACUAACAAGGAUUCCCUCAGUAACGGCGAGUGAAGCGGGAAGAGCUCAAAUUUGAAAUCUUGAAAGGUCACCUUUCACGAAUUGUAGUUUAAAGAAGUGUUUUCUGUUACGAUCGUAAUAUAAGUUCUUUGGAAUAGGACAUCACAGAGGGUGAGAAUCCCGUCUAUGAUUGCGAUUUGUAGCUUUGUGAUACACUUUCAAAGAGUCGGGUUGUUUGGGAAUGCAGCCCAAAAUGGGUGGUAAAUUUCAUCUAAAGCUAAAUAUUGGCGAGAGACCGAUAGCGAACAAGUACCGUGAGGGAAAGAUGAAAAGAACUUUGAAAAGAGAGUUAAACAGUACGUGAAAUUGUCAAAAGGGAAGCGUUUGACACCAGUGUUGUUUUCUCGAAAAUCAAUUAAAAAUGGCUCGAUUUUGUAUUGCUGAGACCUUAAAAGCUCACUGUACAUUUUUCGUGUCUUUUUUAAUGCACUUUUCGUUUAACAAGUCAACAUCAGUUUCUUUUUGUUGUAAAAGGGUCAUUGGAAGGUGGCUUUCUUUUCGGAGAAAGUGUUUAUAGCCUUUGGCCUCUGCAAUCGGAGAGACUGAGGUCUGCAGCGUAGACUCUUCGGGGUUAGAUACAUUUGUGCUAAGUCUAUAGCUUUUUAUAGACAACUUGUUGACUAUAAUUAGUCUUGUAGCUUACUCGCUUAUGUUAUUUUACCUACGCUUAGGAUGUUGACUGAUAUGUAGUCGUA